UAUAUUCCCACAUGUAGCGGCGUGUCCGGAUGAUAGUCAACGACCAACCCGACCAAAAUUCCCCAUUUUCCCUACCUCACCUCCUUCCUGCAAGCUCCCUCCUCCAUCUCACCUCCUUCGAUUCUACCUCGUCGGCGGCAAAUAGUCCGGUGGAAAGACAAAUCGAGUGAGGUGGCGGUGGUUUGCGUUCGUCGUCCGACGCCUGGGCAGCCACAACGCCAUCAGAUGGACGAGCUCGGGGCAGCGGUCAGAGGAUCUAGUUCUGGGAGAUUCGAUGGCCAAGAGGGGUUACCCGGCAGCGAGGAGGGCUAGCGUGGAAGGUCUUCGUCGGCGGGCAACUGGUGGCUGCGGAAGGACGCGCUGGCGCUGCUCAAGAUCCAGCCCAAGGUGGACGCCGCGAUCCGAGAGGCCGCGCUCGCCUUGUUGUCCGUGGCGUUUGCCGCCCUGAGCACCAGCUCCUCAUCGGAGGAAGGGUAGUGUCGGUACACUACGGCCGCCGCGCAGCACGUCAAUCGGUAUGGAAACACGCCGUACGCGCUUGAUACGGUACAGUCAGUUGUGCCACCACGGGACGAGCACUUCGCGGGUCCGGUGAUGGGCUAGCGACGGCUCAGUCGGGGGGAAAUCUCCAGGGUCACCUUCUCGAGGAUUGUCAAGACGAAAUCGACGGAGGACUUCUCUGGCAUACCAUACAACAUGACUGCUGCUCAGCUGCCUCUUACCAAAAUGGUGACAUCAGGGAGAGGCCUGGUUGAAGGGUACUUCUUGUCCAUUACUUGGGGCCAAAUUUUCAUCUACGGGUUACAAAGCAAGCGAUGUGUUUUGCUGCAUUAAAAGGACGAUGGUGCAGUUGU